UCCGGUAAGGGUACUGCGGAGACAUUAU
rnacentral:rRNA from 1 species